AUGACACCUGCAGUGUCCAUCCCUACUGUCCAUCCCCAUUUUCCAUCCUCAUUGUCCACCCCCAGUCCCAUCCCCCAGUGUCCACCCCCAGUGUCACCCCCAUCGUCCACCCUGCAUCAUCCCCAUUUUCCAUCCCCAGUGUCCAUCCCCAGUGUCCAUCCCCAGUGUCCACCCUCAUUGUCCACCCUCAUUGUCCAUCCCCAGUGUCCAUCCUCAUUGUCCAUCCCCAGUGCCAUCCUGCACAUCCAUCCUCAUUGUCACCCACGGUGUCCACCCCCAGUGCCACCCACUUUGUCCAUCUCUGCUGUCCAUCCCCAGUUCCCAUCCCUAUUGUCCAUUCCUAUUUUCCACCCCCAGUGUCCACCCCCAGUGUCCAUCCCCAUUUUCCAUCCCCAGCUCCAUCCCCCAUGUCCAUCUUCAGUGUCACCCCCAGGGCCAUCCCCAGUGUCCAUCCCCAUUGUCCAUCCCCUGUGCCACCCCCAGUGUCCAUCCCCAUUGUCCAUCCCCUGUGCCAUUCCCAGUGUCCAUCCUCAGUGUCCAUUCCUAUUGUCCAUCCCUAUUUUCCACCCCCAGGGCCACCCCCAGUGUCCAUUCCCAGUGUCCAUUCCCAGUGUCCACUCCCAGUGUCCAUCCCCUGUGUCACCCCCUGUGUCCAUGCUCAGUGUCACCCCCAGGGCCAUCCCUAUUGCCCACCCCUAUUGUCCACCCCCAGCCCCAUCCCCAUUGUCCAUCCACUGUGCCACCCUCAGUGCCAUCCUUGUUGUCCAUCCACUGUGCCACCCCGUGUCCACGCUCAGUGUCACCCCCAGUGUCCAUCCCCGGUGUCCAUCCCCGGUGUCCAUCUCUGGUGUCCAUCCCCAGUGUCCAUCCCCAGUGCCAUCCCCUGUACCACUCCCUGUGUCCAUCUCUAUUGUCCAUCCCCGUUUUCUAUCCCCAUUUUCCAACCCCAGCCCCAUCCUCAGUGUCCAUCCCCUGUGCCACCCCCAAUGUCCACCCCCAGUGUCCAUAUCCAGUGUCCAUCCCUAUUGUCCAUCCCCAGUGUCCAUAUCCAGUGUCCAUCCCUAUUUUCCAUCCCCAGUGUCCAUCCCCAGUGUCCAUCCCUAUUUUCCAUCCCCAGUGCCCAUAUCCAGUGUCCAUCCCUAUUUUCCACCCCCCGUGUCCAUCCCCAGUGCCCAUAUUCAGUGUCCAUCCCUAUUUUCCACCCCCUGUGUCCACCCCCAGUGCCCAUCCCCAGUGCCCAUAUUCAGUGUCCAUCCCUAUUUUCCACCCCCUGUGUCCACCCCCAGUGCCCACCCCCAGUGCCCAUAUUCAGUGUCCACCCCCAGUGCCCAUAUUCAGUGUCCAUCCCUAUUGUCCAUCCCCAGUGUCCAUAUCCAGUGUCCAUCCCUAUUUUCCACCCCCAGUGCCCACCCCCAGUGCCCAUAUCCAGUGUCCAUCCCUAUUUUCCACCCCCUGUGCCACCCCCAGUGUCCACCCCCAGUGCCCAUAUCCAGUGUCCAUCCCUAUUUUCCACCCCCAGUGCCCAUAUCCAGUGUCCAUCCCUAUUGUCCAUCCCCAGUGUCCAUAUCCAGUAUCCAUAUCCAGUGUCCAUCCCUAUUUUCCACCCCCAGUGCCCAUAUCCAGUGUCCAUCCUCAGUGUCCAUCCCCAGUGUCCAUAUCCAGUGUCCAUCCCUAUUUUCCACCCCCAGUGCCCAUAUCCAGUGUCCAUCCCUAUUGUCCAUCCCCAGUGUCCAUAUCCAGUGCCCAUAUCCAGUGUCCAUCCCUAUUGUCCCCCCCCAGUGCCCAUCCCCGGUGUCCACCCCGCCCCGGCCACGCUCCGGCCGUGUCACCCUGGCUCACUCUGAGCCUGGCCCAGCCCGGAGGGGUUCGAAGCCACCGCGCCGAGCGCGGCUGGCGCUGUCCCCGGCCGGGGACCGUCCCCGCCGAACCCCGGCCCCGUCACGGCCCCGUCACGGCCCCCGGGGCCCCCCCAAAAUCACAGACGCGGCUCCGCACGUGCCCGGCCGAGCCCCAGUUCCCAGCGGGAGCCGGGAAGGGUUAAACUGGGAGCUGGGACGGGAACUGGAGCAGUCCAUGGCCUCGGGGCCGGGGUUUGGCCCCGCCGGGGCAGCGGCAGAGCCGGCUCGGGCAGUCCCGGAGCGGCCGGAAGGGCCGAGCGGGGCCGCGGGGCAGAGCCGGGCCGGGCGGGGCCGGGCCGGGCUGGGCACGGAGCUGGGCACGGAGCUGGCACCGGAGCGAGGACACGGCGCAGAGGGGGGACAUGGCACAGGGUGGGGGGCGCAGCACACGGUGGGGGGUACAGCCCACUCUGGGGGGCAGAGCCCCGUGGGGCGGUCACGGCACGGAGUGGGGGGCACAGCCUGGGGUGGGGGUCACAGUCCCGUUUGGGGGACACGGUCAAGAGUGAGGGUCACAGCACGGGAAGGGGGGGUCACAGCCCCUUGGGGGGGUCACAGCCCCUUGGGGGGGGUCACAGCACAGAAAGGGGGGGGUCACAGCCCAGAGUGGGGGUCACAGCCCGGUGUGGGUCUCUCAGUCUGGUGGGGCGGUCACAGCCCAGGUUGGGGGCCACAACCCAUUGCAGGGGUCACAGCCUGGGGUGGGGGUCACAGCACAGAAAAGGGAGGUCACAGCCCCUCGGGGGGGUCACAGCCUGGGGUGGGGGUCACAGCCCAGUGCAGGGGUCACAGCCCAGGUUGGGGGCCACAACCCAUUGCAGGGGUCACAGCCUGGGGUGGGGGUCACAGCACGGGAAGGGGGGGUCACAGCACCUUGGGGGGGUCACAGCCCAGAGUGGGGGUCACAGCACAGAAAGGGGGGGUCACAGCCCAGAGUGGGGGUCACAGCCCGGUGUGGGUCUUGCAGCCCAGUGGGGGGGUCACAAGCCAGGUUGGGGGCCACAACCCAUUGCAGCGGUCACAGCCUGGGGUGGGGGUCACAGCACAGAAAAGGGAGGUCACAGCCCCUCGGGGGGGUCACAGCCUGGGGUGGGGGUCACAGCCCAGUGCAGGGGUCACAGCCCCUUGGAGGGGUCACAGCCCAGUGCAGGGGUCACAGCCUGGGGUGGGGGUCACAGCCCCUUGGGAUGGGGGCUCAGCCACCCCCAGGCCGAGGCCAAGGACAGGGCCACCUGUCCCAGGUGGGCGCUGUGACCCCAGGAGCACGUGGGGUCUGGGGGGGUCCCUGGAUGGGGGUGGGGGCACACAGGUGGGGGGAGGGCAUGGGUGA
ensembl:lncRNA